AGUGGGGAGGAGGAGGCAAACCCAGCCCGGGAGAGGGAAGGAUGCAGACAAGGUCUUGGGAUCAGCUGGCUGAGACGUGUCCACAGGGAAUUACAGGCAGGUCUGAGCCUGUCAGAUUACUGGAGCCAGGAAGGGGGGAGCGGGUUGAGGCAGGUCUGGCAGGCAGAGGGAUAGAGGAGCUGGAGGAAAAGAGAGGAACAGGGGGAAGGUGGGCAAAGAGGGGAGGGAGGCACAUGGGAAAGGGGUGAGCAGAGGGGGGCACCCAGCCCUGGUGGUGUGGGGCUGGUGGGGGCAGGAAGACAGACUGGGGGUGCCAUAGGGUGGAUGGGGUGGGAACGGGCUUGGUCCAUGACACGUCACCCCCAGCACCCACCUGGCCAAGGUGUGGGGCCAGGACCAGCCAGGGCAGCUGCACAUGCCAAAACCAAUUAAGUGCUCAGUGGGUCACAGACCAACUGCUGGGGUCCCUCCCGUCCGAGGUCAGGGGAGAGCGUCCUCAUUUGCUGCCUCUUAAUUACAUCUGAUCCUGCCUUAAAUCCUCCUAAAACCUUCCCUGAGAGCUUUCAGGUGGCUGCUGGGGAAAGGUGCCCAUGAGCCAGGGGUGACAGGCCAUCCAGGCACGGGUGGCAGCCCUGGGCUGAGCGGUGGCUCCGGGAGGGAUGUGAGGGGCUGUUGGCACUGCGUGGUGAUGGAGGAAGCGCCAUGUGCACCACAAUCCUGGUCCUCGGUCCACUGCUCCUCUUGCUGCGGCGCCGCUUCUGCAACAAAGUCGAACCGCACUCCGAGGGAGAGGAAGAGACCAGGACUGAGGCCAACUCUGACUCAAACACCACGUGACACCACUUGGGAGUAAAAGCCAGGAUUUCUAGGUCUUCCUGCCUACUGGUGAGCCUGUGAAGUCUCAAGAAAAGUGUCUUGCUCUAGGGAAAGGAAAGUAGAGCCUGGAGCUGCCAGAUUGGAAGGAAAAACCCCAUUUUUCCAAUUACUUUCAAUAGGAGCUCAGUUCCCAGCUCCUCCAUGCCCUGCAGGCAGCACCCAGCCCAUUCCAGCCUUGGCACACACCGAAACCCUCCGCAGACCAACCCAGGACACUGAACACUGAUGAACCCACAUCACCC